GGACAGCAGUGGCCACAGGUCCAGGCUGACCAGUGGGCUGGAAGCGGCUGCCCUAGGCAAGGAAUGAGACUGCAGGCCUUCCAUUUCGCCUAUACUGGUGGUUAGACCUUGGCAAUGUCAAGGCAGGAGCCCUGUCAUGUGUAUUUGGGCCCAAGGAGAAGUGGCCCAGGCUCCUGUCCUCUCUGGCACAUUUCUGGGGAGGCUGAAGGGUAGAGAAUGACGCUUUGGAGCAUCACCCUGAGACUGGGACUAAAGUCUACCAGGGCCAGGGGAACCGAGAAGAGCAGGCUGCAGAGGUGGCUCCGCCUGCCUGGGGCAGGCAAGAAACCCAAGACGCUGGUCAGGCUUGAUGUCUGGGUGCUUCUGGCAACCUGCUGCGCCAUUGUCUGGCUGAAUAAGUGGCAUCCAUGGCAUGCAGAAGUGUUGGGACCAGGGAUCAAACUCAGAUCACAGCAAUGACAGCACCUUAACCCGCUGUGGCACCAGGGAACUCCGAGGGUAGUGGGUUUUUAAAGUGUGGAACCUGGAUCAUCAGCAUUAUCUGGGACCUUACUGAAAUGCAAAAUCUCAGAUGAUUCAAAGCCACUGAACCAGCAACUCCAGGGGUGGGGACAGCAAUUCUCAUCCUCCAGGUGAUUCUUACACACAAUCAAGUUGAAGAAACAAUGGACUGCUCCAGGGAAUGCAGGGAGGGGAGGGGCUCUUUCCAGACACUGAUUUCCAUCCCACAGCCCAAGAACAAAUAAUAUUCUAUUAAUCACGACAACUUUAAAAUAGGAUGGAAAGGAGUUCCUACUGUGGUACAAUGGGAUGUGUGGCGUCUCUGCAGCACCAGGAUACAAGUUUGAUUCCCAGCCCCUGGCCUUGGGAGCUCCAUAUGCCUCGGAAACAGAAUGGAAGAAAAAAAAAAAAGCAUAGAAAGUCAACAAUCAUCCAAAGUCUGAUCACUAACAAAGCAGUUAUUUUCAUUUUUCCAUUUUGCUACACAGUUCACAACUAUUUAACAAAUGCACUAUAUUCAGCCAUGUGGAUAUAGCCUAAUUUAUUUAACUCUGCCAUUUAGGAUGAUCUCAAGUUUUUCAUCAUAACUAAGUAGAAAAAUUUGUUGAGGAAUGUAUGCUAUACUAUAUCUUAAUAACUUUUAUGGGAUUAGGCAAUCGAUAUUCUUUGCAGAGAAUUUGAAAAAUUCAGAACAUUAUAAAAGUCAGCCUUAUUAGAGUUCCCUGGUGGUCUAGCAGGUUAAAGAUCUGGCAUUGUCACUGCUGUGGCACAGGUUCCAUUCCUGGCCUAGGAACUUCCACAUGCUGCAGGCAUGGCAAAAAGUAAUAAUAAUAAUUAUUUAAUCAACUAUGAUCCCAACUCCUCCUUUUUUGAAAAGGCUGUUCUCACCUCUGAAUUCUUACAUUCCUACAACUUCACCUCCUGUCAGUUCUUGCUUUGUAUUUAAUGGCUGUUUGUCUUUUCUAUACUCUUUCAUUGUAGUAUUAUUGAAACAAAGACCAUACCCUUUUCAUCUCGAUAAUAACCAUAAAAGCUACUUUUUAUUGGGUGCCUGGUCUGUACUAGGCAUAAUACAAUAUUAUCUCACUGAAUUCCCACAGGCUGUGUUUUAUUUCCUUUGACUAUAUGAGUAAAGUGAGACUAAAAUAAAAAUAAAAAAUAGAGUGAGGUUGAAUUAGAUUAAAUAACUUGCGCAGGGUCACUCAGCUUGUAAAUAGCAGACCUGGAACAGAAACUGAUACACACACACACACACACACACACACACACACAUAUAUAUAUAUAUAUAUAUGUAUAUGUUCUUUUCCCUUAUAGGCUAUUAUAAAAUAUUGAGUAUAUUUCCCUGUGCUAUUAAGUAUGUCCUUUUUAGUUAUCCACUUUAUAUAUAGCAGUGUGUAUAUGUUAAUCCCAAACUCCUAAUUUAUCCCUCCCCCCCACCCCAGCUUCCCCUUUGGUAACCAUAAUUUUGUUUUGUUUUCUUUUUUAAAAAAUUUUUUAUAGCCACACCUGUAGCAUAUGGAAGUUCCUACGCUAAGGGGUGAAUCAGAGCUGUGGUCACCAGCCUAUACCACAGCCACAGCAACGCUGGAUCCCAACCACAUCUGUGACCUGCACCGCAGCUUGCAGCCAAAUACCAGAUACUUAACCCACUGAGCGAGGCCAGGGAUCAAACCCACAUCUUCAUGGAUACUAACCAGGUUCAUAACCCACUGAGCCACAAUGGGAACCCCACCAUAAGCUUGUUUUCUAUGUCUGUGGGUCUAUUUCUGUUUUGUACAUAAGUUCAUUUAUAUCAUUUUUUUUAACCUUCCACAUGUAAAUGAUACCAUAUAUGUCUUCCACUGUUUGACUUACUUCACUUAGUAUAAUAAUCUCUAGGUGCAUCCAUCUUGCUGCAAAUGGCAUUAUUUCAUUCUUUUUUGUGGCUGAGUAGUAUUCCAUAGUGUGUAUGUGUGUGUGUGUGUGUGUGUGUGUGUGUGUGCACGUACACAUACAUACCACAUCUUCUUUACUCCUCUGUUGAUGGACAUUUAGGUUGCUGCAAUGAACAUUGAGGUGCAUGUAUCGUUUUCAAUUAUGGUUUUCUCCAAAUAUAUGCCCAAGAGUUAGGAUUGCUAAAUCAUAUAAUAGCAUUAUUUUUAGUUUUUUAAGGAACCUCCAUGCUGUUCUCCAUAGUUGUUGUACCAAUUUACAUUUCCACCAACAGUCCUUUUUCCCCACACCUUCUCUAACAUUUAUUAUUUGUAGAGUUUUUGAUGCUGGCCAUUCUGAUGAUAUGAGAUGAUGGAUAACUCAUUGUAGUUUUGACUUGCGUUUCCCUAAUAAUUAGUGAUGUUGAGCAUCUUUUCAGGUGACUUUUGGCCAUCUGUAUGUCUUCUUUGGAGAAAUGUCUAUUUAGAUCUUCUGCCUUCCUUUUUUUUUUUUCUUCUUAGGGCCAUGCCUGUAGCAUAUGGAAGUUCCCAGGCUAGGGGUUGAAUCAGAGAUGUAGCUGUGGGCCUGCACCACAGCCACAGCCACACGGGAUCCAAGCAGUGUCUUCAACCUAUACCACAGCUCAUGACAAUGCCAGAUCCUUAACCCAAUAAGUGAGGCCAGAGAUCAAACCCGCAUCCUCAUGGAUACUAGUCAGUUUUGUUACUGCUGAGCCAUGAUGGGAACUCCCCCCAUUUUUAAAUUGGACUGUUUUGUUUUGUUGUGGGUUUGUUUUUUGUUUUUGUUUUUAUUUUUGCUUUAUAGGGCCAUGCUCUCGGCAUAUGGAAGUUCCUAGGCUAGGGGUCGAAUUGGAGCUACAGCUGCAGGCCUACACCACAGCCACAGCAAUGCCAGAUCCAAGCUAUGUCUGUGACCUACACCACAGCUCGUGGCAAUGCCAGAUCCUUAACCUAAUGAGAAAGGCCAGGGAUCGGACCCCCAUCCUUACUAGUGGGGUUCUUAACCGGCUGAGCCACAACAGGAACUCGACUGUUUUUUUGAUAUUGAGCUGUAUGAACUGUUUGUAUAUUUUGGAAAUUAAUCCUUUGUCACAAUUUUUGCAAAUAUUUUCACCCGUUCCGUAGGCUGAUUUUUGUUUUCUUUAUGUUUUCCUUGGCUGUGCAAGAGCUUUUGAUUAGUUGCCAUUUGUUUAUUUUCAUUUUUAUUUCCAUUACUCUAGGAGAUGGAUCCAUAAAUAUAUUACUGUGAUUUAUGUAAGAGAGUGUUCUGCCUAUUUUCCUCUAGGAGUUUUAUAGUGUCCAGUUUUAUGUUUAGGUCUUUAAUCCUUUUUGAGUUUAUUUUUGUGUAUGGUGUUAGAACAUGUUCUUAUUUUAUUCUUUUACAUGUAGCUGCCCAAUUUUCCCCACACCACUUAUUGAAGAGACUAUCUUUUUCUCCAUUGUAUAUUCUUGCCUCUUUUGUCAUAGAUUAAUUGACCAUAGGUGUGUGGAUUUAUUUCUGGACUUUCUAUCCUGUUCCAUUGAUUUAUAUGUCUGUUUUUGUGCCAGUACCAUACUGUUUUUAUGACUAUAGCUUUGUAGUAUAGUACACAUUUAUUUAUUUAUUUAGCUUUUUUUUUUUUUUUUUUUUUUUUNGGAAGUUCCCAGGCUGGGGUCAAAUUGAAGCUACAGCUGCUAACAUUCACCACAGCCAUAGCAACGUGAGAUCUGAGUUGUCUCUGUGACCUACACCAUGGCUCACAGUAAUGCCAGAUCGCUGACCCACUGAGCAAGGCCAGGGAUCGAACCCAAAUCCUCAUGGAUUCUAGUUGGAUUCAUUUCCAGACACCGUGAAGGGAACUCCCACAUUCAGAUUUUUAGAUGUCCAAUAGGAAAAGGAAAUAUCUCUUUCGGGCUCUUUCUUAGGAAACUGGACCACUUGGACCCCUCUCCAGAAGCUCUUGGCAGACCUCCCCAUUCAUCUCAUGGGCCAGGACCAAGCCAUAAGUUUGUCCCUAUUUGCUGGCAAAAAAAAUGAGACCAUCAUGGCUGGCUCAGACUAACUGGUGUCUGCCCCGGAUUGGGGUCAGGGUCUCUGCAGUAUUUGAGUUACUUGCAUCGCUGAAGAAAAUUAAGGUUCUCUGAAGAAGGAAGGCUGGGGGAAAUGGCUGGGGGAAAUGGCUAACAUGAUCAUCUUAGAGGGAAAGGUACCCAAAAAUUAAUGUACGUGAGCUAAAGUGAAAGCAAUUUGGAGAUCUCCCCCCGCCCCCCGGACUUGGAAUAUUAUUAUUUGUCUUUAAGUCUGUCAAUAGUUGGUAAGUAAAUCAGUUAAAUGUAAACUGCCAAAUGUGUUUUAGUGACGACGAAGUGACUUUAGGGAAAGAAAAGAGGUUCAAAUGUAUGGCCUUGAGACUGGGCUGCUGUCAGGAGCAGAGGUUAAUUCGCUGUCAGGUCCCUUCUCUCUCUUCAACUUUCUGGUCUCCCUAGGACCUCCCUGCCUCCCUUGCAUGUCUCCCUGGUGCUGCUCUAUCAACUGCUCCCUCAGGCACUGGCCCCCUCCAGGAUUUGGUGGUCACCAGGGCCCCUCCGACCCCUACUCCUGCUGUAAAUUAACAACCUCUCUUGGAAAUCCCUAAUUCCAAGCUCCAAGAGAGGUGACUCUGGGGCCACUAAUCCUGUCAUGACAGCCAUCUCUGAGGUUGCUGGCCUGACCAGCAUCUGGAAGAGAUGCCCUGGGUUCAUGAGCUACCCUGGGUCCAAUCAGCUCUGACCAAGGAAGGGAGUAGGGUCAUUUGUUACAAAAAUUUCCUGUUGAGAUCUGGCCCUUGAAGGCUGUGGCAGGGGCAGGGGAGAGGGAGUGAAACUGGGCAUGUCCCAUUAGAAGGUUUGACGCUUGGAGUUCAUGUUGCUUUUCUUUUUUUUCUUUCUUUUUUUCCCUUAAUUUAUUUUAUUGAAGUAUAGGUGAUUUACAAUGUUGUGUUAAUUUCUGCUGUACAGCAAAGUGAUUUAGUUAUACAUAUAUAUAUAUAUAUAUUCUUUUCAUAUUUGUUUCCAUUAUGGUUUAUCAUAGGAUAUUGAAUAUAGUUCUCUGUGCUGUAUAACAAGGAAGACCUUGUUAUUAUCCAUUUCUACAUGUAAUAGUUUGCAUCUGCUAAUCCCAAACUCCCACUCCAUCCCUCCCCCACCCCACCCCACUUGGCAACCACAAGUCUGUUCAUUUUGCUUUUCUAUAGCCAAACUUAUACUCCAGGUAUGUCAGCUCCUUAUCUCAUUCAAAUAUGCAAGCUGGUUGGUCUAAUCAUCCUCAGGGGCGGUUAUCCUCCAGGGUUUAUCCAACUUUAAUGAGCAUGCAAGUCACCUGUGUCUGGUUAAAAAUGCAGAUGUGGGAGUUCCCUUGUGGCUCAGUGGAUUAAGGAUCCUGCAUUGUCCCUGCUGCAGCUUGGAUUGCUGCUAUGGCGCUGGUUUGAUCCCUGACUGGGGAAAUUCGACAUGCCACAGACUCAG
rnacentral:tRNA from 1 species